CGCGACAUGUUGUCAUACAAUUUAAAAUUUAACAAAAUUUUUAUAAUAAAUAUUAAAUAUUUUUAUAUUAAAUUUGUUAUAACUACCUUUUUAAAAUCCAAUUAGUUAUAGCUACCUUUCCAACAAAAUGGAUCAAUCAGUGCCAAUAAUCGCAAGUAAAAACACCCACCAAAGCCAUCCAGUGGAUGACCGCUAUGGUGGUGAUGUUGGCAAACCGGAUUCGCCUGAAGUUCGAAUGUAACCACGGCAAACUAUCAUAUCGAAACAAAUAGAUCAAGAAAGCAAUGUCCAUAUUGCCUAAUUGCAUGGACAGAAGGUCAAUUUACUAUCAAAACCAUUCCUUGUAGUCUUAAUGUGAAGAAAAAAAAAUAAGAAACCACCAAAAGCGGUAUCACUUCAGCGAUUGUUUAAAAUGGUAGCCAAAUGUACGGUUUGUCAUAAUACGACAAAUUUAGUUUUCAAUAAAAAUAAUUACCUAAAAAAAAGAGAGUAUUCCAGAAUAACAAAAAAGAAGAAGUAAAUCUUGAC